CCUACGGGUGGCUGCAGUGAGGAAUAUUGGUCAAUGGCCGGAAGGCUGAACCAGCCAAGCCGCGUGAAGGACGAAGGUGCCAAGCAUUUUAAACUUCUUUUGUCAAGGGACAAAAUCAGGCUCGAGAGCCUGACCGAGGGUACUUGAAGAAAAAGCAUCGGCUAACUCCGUGCCAGCAGCCGCGGUAAUACGUAGGGAGCAAGCGUUAUCCGGAUUUAUUGGGUGGAAAGGGUGCGUAGACGGGAAGUCAAGUUGGUUGUGAAAUCCCUCGGCUUAACUGAGGAACUGCAAACAAAACUAACUGUCUUGAGUGCUGGAGAGGAAAGUAGAAUUCCUAGUGUAGCGGUGAAAUGCGUAGAUAUUAGGAGGAACACCAGUGGCGAAGGCGACUUUCUGGACAGUAACUGACGUUGAGGCACGAAAGUGUGGGGAGCAAACAGGAUUAGAUACCCCAGUAGUC
rnacentral:rRNA from 1 species